AACUGUGACAGCAUCACCCAAGCCAAAGAUAAGCUGCUGGAUGCUGUGUACAAGGGCAUCCCAUACUCCCAGCGCCCCAAAGCUGAGGACAUGGACCUAGAAUGGCGUCAGGGCCGCAUGGCCCGCAUCAUCCUCCAGGAUGAAGAUGUCACCACCAAGAUCGAGUGUGACUGGAAAAGGGUCAACUCACUGGCCCACUACCAGGUGACAGAUGGUUCCUUGGUGGCGCUGGUGCCCAAACAAGUGUCCGCCUACAACAUGGCCAACUCCUUCACCUUCACUCGCUCCCUCAGCCGCUACG